rnacentral:rRNA from 1 species
CAAUAGCGUAUAUUAAAGUUGUUGCAGUUAAAAAGCUCGUAGUUGAAUUUCGGGAUCAAUAUGUCGGUCGUGCCUUCGGUACGUACUGGCAUCAUUGGUUUCUCCCUUCUGACAAACCAUGAUGUCAUUAAUUUGGUGUUAUGGGGAGUUAGGACUGUUACUUUGAAAAAAUUAGAGUGUUUAAAGCAGGCAUUAGCUUGAAUACAUUAGCAUGGAAUAAUGAAAUAGGACGUUUGACCCUAUUUUGUUGGUUUCUAGGAUCGACGUAAUGAUUAAUAGGGAUAGUUGGGGGCAUUAGUAUUCAAUUGUCAGAGGUGAAAUUCUUGGAUUUAUUGAAGACUAACUACUGCGAAAGCAUUUGCCAAGGAUGUUUUCAUUAAUCAAGAACGAAAGUUAGGGGAUCGAAGACGAUCAGAUACCGUCGUAGUCUUAACCAUAAACUAUGCCGACUAGGGAUCGGAUGAUGUUAAUUUUUUAAUGACUCAUUCGG